rnacentral:lncRNA from 1 species
UCAGUUCAAAUAGGGUAACAGAAUAACAUUCUGUUACGCGAAACAGAAUAGCCCAUAUGUGUGUGUGUGUGUGUAUACUAGUACAAAUGCCCGUGCAUUGCACCGGCCGAAAAAUGAAAUAUAACCUAUUCCUGUGCCAUUAUGCAAUAAUUUUUUAAUUCAAUUUUACGGGGACAUUAUCUUCUAGUGCUUUUACACAAAUCACCCUUCUACUUCUUCCUUUACCCACUGUCCCUGUGUCUCCAAUCAAAACACAUUAUCGCAAUCUACCUGCAAAAAAAGGACACUAUCACCAUCAACGAAACAGGUCAUUCAUAACCCUCCCACGUGCACACUUUGAAUUCCAGACACGUACCAUGCCAUCAGCACUCAGCAUCAAGUUUUGACUACCAUCGCUGACAUGUAUGCACCAUACUCGGCACCCUUCCAAUUAGCUCACUCCAUUUUCCAUUCCCUCCUCUCUUUUCUCUUCCUCAUCAGAUCGUGUAAUAGUGCAACUGUAAAUUCCAGUAAACCGCUCCAUCAGCUCACUAAAGUUAUCUAAGUCACUGAACACUGUUCUCUGCAAACCAUUUUGUUUGAAUAUUACUCAAAUCUACAUUCUAAAAUAUGUCUACAUACAUCCGUAUGUAGUCUAUAUUGAAAUAUCUAAAAUUACUUAUAUUUAGGCGGAAGGAGUAGAAAAUAAAAAGCAUGAAAGUGUAUACCAAGUAGUUCCAUAUUUGGUUUCAGAGCACAAAUUUGUAUUCCUGUCAGGAAUUUCAGAACUUAGCUUUUGAGUUUUAUACAAACAGAUUCUCUUGUUGCAGCAGCAGAAUGGUCACUGACAUUGACACGCAAAGAGAAAACUUGAGAAGUGUAAUUGUACUCAAGUGUGGAGCACACAUCAUCAUUAUUCUGAGCUGGUUGAACCUUUGUUUUAGACUAUCUUUUUUCUGGUUUUAUGCCAUGACGCUACUGUUUGCGUCAUUCUGUUAUCUUUUGAUAACCAUAUACACUCUAGGCCAUACCAAAAAAACACAGCAUCAUCAGUUUGGACUAAGAUGAGCAAUACAAAUCUUUCAUGAGAUCGUGUGGUGCUCAAACAAAUGUACAGACAUCAGACAACAACAUUGAGUACUCAUACAGGCAUACACCAUGUGUAACUAUUAACAAAUGGGAGUGUAGUGCUCCAAUUCCUUAAGAAGCAAAGGCUGUAAGUUAUAGAAAGUUGGCAGUGAUUUAGUCCAAGCAUCCAGAAAUGAACUAAAUCAUUAUUAGGUACAUAUAAUGAGAAGAAAAAUAAAAAUUGUAACAGUUAAGUAUUAACAUGAGGGUAUAAAAAUCCAAGAACUAAUAGCUCUCUUGGGCCACUGCCAGAUUAUUAUUUUGUUCUAGAGUAUUUCCAGAUUUGUCGGCACGGCCUUGGGCCAUUAUCAUAUCCUGACCUUGCUGUGUUUAAUGCCUACAUUUAGGUUAUCGUCUAAAAUCUGUCACCAGCAACAAGGCUACAAAAGGCUCUGCAUUGGGGUAUCAUCAAUUUUCACAAGAAAACCUAGAAAAAAUAGAGUUUGUAAACAGAGCAGUCUGUCGAUCAAUGUUCGACAGUGAUCAAGAAUGCAUAGUUAGGAGAGUUCCAAGAGGAAACAGAGUCCUGGAAAUUUGCAAGGCUCUCUGUAGUUUGGGACAGCAAAAACAAAACAUAUGCCUCUCAUAUAAUUUGUUUUGUUCAAUUUAAAAACGUAUCUUCAAUCAUGGAAAUAGAUAAAUUGCCAUAGGCAUACUCCCAAACUAUGUGUGCCUCACAGAAGAGGCUCGACAAGAGUCAAAACAUAUGAACAACGAUGACCGGAGCAUCUGCAUGAUUUUAAUAGAAGGCAUGAGAAUAGAAAGUAUAGCUCUGCAUUUACCUUGCAUUAUGAUGCCACACAAUUAAUACAAAUUAACUGAAUUAAAAAAAUCAAGGCAACAUACUUCUUUCAGUGGUUGUAGCAUACACAUUGGGGUUGGUCUCUAACAGAGCACGUGAACUGAACUAACAAAGUUGAAAUAAGAUGAAGUCAAUUAGCAAAACCAUGUUUUAUCAGGGUGAUAAUAAAGAUACAAAUUUGACCUCAACGAUGAUGUAAGCCCUCACAUAUAUUUUAUGGCAGUUUAGUAUUAUGUUUCCCUUCUGGGAUAAUGGAAGGUUAUCUUGUCCCGGUAUUAUGCAUACAUCUAGUAUGACUCUCAGCCAUGCUUUUCUCAUGAACAGAUUGUUGCUAGAUAAUAUCCAAGUUUAGAAUCUAGAUUUAGAAGAUGAAACAGAGGUAGAAAUAGUAGGAAAUGCUUUUGACAGUUCACACCAACAGAGAUUCAUGUACACCAUGGUUGCUUAUAAACUGAUUCAUACCAUAGUCCACCCAAUUGCAGAUAUAGGAAAAAGAUUGGAAUUGUUGUAACUCGAGUGAUGGUUCAACUGACAUAGACAUACCUUGCCUGGACACUGAGACUGUCGGGAUAGAUGAGAUGAGGGCAGUGACAAAUAUCAAGGAUGUGAACAAUUGCUGCUUGCAAGGCACAUGGAUGGUGGGCGUCGAGAUUGUAGGUCAUGCUUGUGUUCACCUCACAUCACAGUGUUGCACCUUCCUGGAUCAACCUGUAUGACACAUGUGCAAUGCAACACAAAUUGAUAUGACAUGAGAUAGCGGAAAAAAAAAUCAAUCGCUAGUUCAAAAAUCCUAGAAGAAUUCAAGCACAUCACCUACAUCUUUCUUGCCGAUAUUCAUGGUCUUCUCCUGCAACACGCUGAGGUCGUUGACGCUCCACCGCAUAAAUUGUGGGAUGACGAAUAGCGACAUCAUCAUGAAAAAAGACUCCAGGCAACAACAUGGUCGUGGUCAUUCCAUCGGGGGCGUUUCUAAGGACAUGAUAUCACACCAACUGGUACUACACUUUUCGUGAAAAAGUUUGGUAGCACA